GGCCCACCUGACCUGACAGCUGGCUUGGCACAACCGAAUCCAUGUGAGAGCUCAGCUGUGUGACCACCCCUCCAUCUUCAAGGAGCAAAUUAGUCGUGACAGAUUCAGGGCAAGUGUUCAAAGUGAGCUCCAGCACCAGUACAAGACCAGGCGGCCUCCUUGGCAGAGGCAGCCCAGGGUGGUGAUGCGAUGGUGGGGAGAGCUGCACAGGACAGGCAGCAGCUGCGGGCAUGCAUUUGAGGUUGGCAAAAGGUGAGGUGGAUGUGCAUCGCCCAGCCGGUAGGGGAGCUACUUCUCUGGAUACACAUUUCACAGAGACGAUGCACUUGAAUCUAUUCCAGAAGAAGAUGCGAGGAACUGCACCAGCAUUCUACCAGCGUUUUGAUGUGUAGGUUUGGACAAUAUGAGCUUGGCACAAGGUCAACGCUAUAGCUUCAAACGUGACUCCAAGCCCCCUCUGGACUUGCCUCCGAUGCCAUUCUAUUCAGACAACAACAGAGAUCCUCUGCAGAGCGCGCUGAAUGGGCUCCAGUGGUCCAAUACGGCGGGCACAACAACAACCAAGUUGUUUGUUGAAUCGGUUUACAUGCAGUUCACUACGCCUGCUAUAACAUGUUCUUGCAUAUGAUGUUAACUUGUCAAUUUCGAAAUAAAAAUCUAAUUUCUGGUGAAAAUACAAAAGGGCGUUUCGAUUAAUUAUCUUUACAAUGCAAACAAAACACAAUGACACCACACUUCUCGCUCGUACCCAAGACAUCAGCAGGAAUCAGAAUUUCAGCAGGCUAUUCAUGCAACCUCAUUCCAUCCAAAAACAAUCAUGGAUGUCCGAGUAAGGGAGUUGAACACAUUUUGUAAUGCACCCUUUAUGGAGGGAUAGCCUACCAAGAAGGCGUUCUUGCCCUUAUCUCCCUCAAUUGCGCCUCUAAAAUCAAUCUUGUUUUAGGAACGAUUUGUUAUCCAGAGCUCAGUGAAUUGCUGUCAAAAGGCUUGUCACACAGAGGCAUUCAGCAUGCAUAUUACAAGUCCAGCCCUAGACAAGCUGCAACACCAUUAACAUGACAUAUUACUCCACACAAGUCUGCGCCCCGUGCACCAUUCAAUCCAUAACAUUUGAAAAAUCAAGACGUUAAAAUAACAUUCCCAAAUUAACCGGGUAUUUUAAUUGGUGGGGUUUUCACACGCCUACAUCAGCUUAUUUGGUAGGCCUAUGUGAGUUAUUUCAGUGGGAUUUAAAAUAAGAAUAAAUAUCCCAUUCUUAAAAUGAGUAAAUGUUGAAUAGGCUAUUUCAGCUAAGGAAUUAAAAUGUGCACACAGCAUUUCUUUCCGCGCCAUGAAAGAACGUGAUUAAAUUCAUUAACUUGCUGGAGAGCAAGUCUGUCCUGCGCAUUUUUAAUUAAUUACAUGCAGAAAAUGCAAGAUAUCUGCCCCAUGACAGCCAGACGCAGCCAUGCACAAACUACAAAAAACGAGGUGUGUUGCAUAUCUGAAGUCACAUUAUAGAUAUUGUGUUUCCAAAUAAUUAAACGGUGGGUUCCUCACAGCGAUUUGACACAGGAAAAUCUCAAAAUAAGUUCAGUUUGUCUCCUGUGUCUCACAUGGUUGAGCACAUUGGCUGCAUUGGAGCAGGAAUCUUUGAUGUACUAGCUCAGCAAGGCCAUAACUCAGCGCCUUCGUGAGUAUACUACAAUUCUCCGUGAACUCUGUGUGAACCACGCUGGUGGCAAUAAAUCAUUUUUCUUUCUCUCAGAAAAGCACACCGGUCUCUCUGGGUGUCAAGCCUUUUAUAAUUCCUCCUUACCUUCUGCGCUCUUCUUGUGUCUGCCGACAUUAGCAGCUGCACAAAGCAUCGAUAUACCAGCAUCAAAUGUCGGACCAGCAUAAACUUUAGCUUAAGGAAAAAAAUAAAAACCCGGAAAAUUACGCACACAUCUUUUGCCACCACAAACAAAUCUACUAGGGUUCCAACGAUGCUAUAGUACAUUUUCAUGUAUUUCAGAAUGUUUUAAAACGUUUUUAAAAUGAUGUAUGUGUUUAUUGGGGCUGCUUAGUCAAUUUACUGACUUAUCAAUUAAUGACGGCAAUUAAAGAAGCACAUGAUUGCAGGAUAGCCUAAGCUGCUUUGAAAGUGGUUCGACUUACUAUUUGAAACACAUCCUCAGUCAAUCUAAGAGGACAUCAUGCGAACAUGCUGCUGUUGCACAUUCACAUGGCGGACUGCAGAAACCAACCCCUGUCAUCAGGGUGGUAACCGUCCAUGCAAAAGUCCCUAUUCUGGAAAAAAAACACAGGGUGUGCAGCUCCACGGCAGGGUGAUGUAGGCUGCUCUGGAACAAAGGCGUUAACGAUCCGUUUUCUAUGCUAUGGAGUUGAGCAUGAGAAGAGAUAAGGUGGUGGAGGAGAGAGUAGGAGGGAAGGAGAGCGAGAGAGGGGGAGACUCGAGGAGAGAAUGCUAAUGGAAAAGGGAUGUUUUUGGUUAUAACGAUGCAUACAAAUGUGCCUGUCUCGGUAGACCAACCGGAAGAUUUAUGGCAGAUGGGUCCUGUAUCACUGUAAACAAUGCAGAGUUGAAUUAAAGCAGUGGAAAUGUGUGGGGAGUGCACCUGACAGCUACAGCUACUGGGAGGACAGGUGAUGUCACAGCACAAGUUUUGAUUUGAAUUUGCAUCUGCAAUGCACCUUGCAAAAUGGUGCUGAGAAGAAAAGUGGCACACUUGGUGAUUAAAGUGUAGUUAAGAGUUUAAACUUGCAAAUGUAUGCAAGUAUCUCAGAAUUUCAUUGUAUCUCAGUAUUUCACCUCAAUUCACACCACCUGCGCCUUUAGGCCAUAUACCCCAAUUUGGGAAAAUUGAACUGUAGAGAGUUUGAGGAUUCAGAUCAUUUGAUACUGUUGUGCUGCAUAGUCACAGUAGGCUAUGUCAAAUGCUUGGCAUUAACAACUAAAACCAAAGCCAUGCAGUUGCAAAUCAGUCAUAGAAUGUUGCCUGCUGCUUCAGUGUAUUACUUAAAAAAUGUGUUCGACUUCCUAACUGUAUGGCCAUCAGAAGACAAGUGUUCAGCCUGAUGCAUUCUACUAAAAACAUAAAGUAAUGUACCCUACUACAUCCACAGUGUCUAUCAUCCAGCUGAUGAAUCAAAGAGUGUUUCAUUUUAUGCUACCCACCUACAGCCAGAACAAAGGUGGGCCAUUUCAGGAAAAAAAAAAACAAUCACUCCAAAUACAGAAGGGUUCUAAAAUGGCCGCAUACCAUACCAUACCAUACCAAUUAUAUGUUCACUUACUCAGUGCAGUGUUUUUGACUGGCUAACUGUAUGUCCACCAUAAACAACCAGCGCGAAGGGGAAAAACACAACCAGUACCUAAUUCUACAGUAUUCUAUAUAGGGUAUGGCGGCAUAACAUACCAUAUUAGUCACUAUACACUCACUCACUCGAUCACUCCCCCGCAGAUUCAUCAGAUGACAUAACUUUAUGUUAUUAACUAUAUACAUCUAUAUACUGCUAUAAUUCAAUGGCUACCUUUCCAUCAACAAAUAGGCCUAAGUUUCAAGCCUGAUACACUAUACAAAAAAAAACACAUGUAGACUGCUAUGGUACGUCCAAGGUGUCCAACAACCAGCUGGUGAAUUUACAGUAGGCCUAUCCUCCUACAUUACACAGCAUCCCCACUUACAACCAGAGCCAAUGUAGGCCAUUUCAGGGGGAAACCCAUUCAGGCCCAAUUCUGCUGUAUUCUAAUACGACUGCAUACCAUACCCAUUAUACACUCUUUCACUCAAUCCCCCUGCAGAUUCAUGAGAUGAAAUAAAUCAUUGUCACACAAUAUAAUUCGCUAGUUAAAUCUAUCACUUACAAAAUGCAAUCAUAAAAAUGUUUCUUACCCGAUGCAUUGUUCUAAAAUAACCUCAUGUAAUAUAGAAAAAAUGGCCGCAUACCAUACCAUACCAUACCAUACCAUACCAUACCAUACCAUAUCGUAUUCACUAUACAUUCACUCACUCACUGACUCUCGGUACCCCCUGCAGAUUCAUAAGACGAGAUAAAUCAUUUGGGCUGCGCAUCCCGCCUCACGACCUCCGUGUGACCUCAUAUGUGCUCUGCCGGGAGAGCAGAGCAGAGCAGAGCAGAGCAGAGCAGACAGCAUGCAGGGCAGGACAGGACAAUGGGCCGCUCUCAACCAGUGCCACCACCGCCGAGGCCAGUGCUCACACACACACACAUGGCCAUUCUCUACACAAAACCAAACGUUUUCUAAGCUUUAUCAUCCUGGUCACAAUAGUUAUUAUUACAAUGUGAUAUUUUGUGAUUAAUGAAUUGCUAGGAUGUGUUUUUUUCCACAGUUUGGCUUUGAUAGUGCCCGCUUACUUCAUGCCUAUUUUGAAUUCAGGAAUUAAAAAAUGGUAAUAAUCUGAAGCGCGUAGGGAGGUCAUCAUGCAUUGCUGGUGGUGAGGUGGUGGCGGCGGCCACGCCUCAGGAAUAGUGGUCAAGCAUGCAUGAGAUAUUUCGAGAUUGCCAUGGGAUGUGUCGAUUGAUCGAGCGGGAGGGAGGCUUCUUCCAUCUUGUUUCCAACAUGUCUAGGGACCUCUAAUGACCUACGAGAGCAUAGGGGGAGACUACAGAUGAGGAGGGUCUUGCCUGAUAAGUCAUCUCUCACACACACACACACACACACACACACACACACACACACACACACACAC